AUAGAAGUAAGAAAACUAUAUAUUAUAUACAAUUUAAUUAGGACCCCAACAGCUCAAGUACAUGACUGUUCUAAGAGAUUCUUCAGCCUUCUUAGCCUUCUCGCUCUCACCAGAGGAGGUAACGGCUGCGGAGACAGAAGACGAAGAGAACCUUUUCCCUUGAGAAACAGAUCUAACGUUGUUCCGGAGAUGUUGAUUAACCGACCGGAGUAUGUAGUUCCACCGACAAAGACCUAGUUGGUCUUUUAAUGCCUCUACGGCUCCGAUGCUCACUGCCACUGUCCAUGCUUUGCUUGUAGAACUCAUCUUUCUUCAGAGAAUUAAACUUCUUUGUGUUUUGUGUUUUGUGUAUUGAGAAUUGUUUUUGUUGAUGAUGUUUAGAAAGUGAAGUGAAUUGGUGUGUUUAUGUAAGAGAGAAGAAGCCAACAAUAUUGCCG